UUUUCAUAGUUGAGAAACAACGGAAGGCUUUUCACGCCGCAAGCUUGGGUUAGACUCCCAAUGGAAAU
rnacentral:tRNA from 1 species